UACGUAGGGUGCAGGCGUUAAUCGGAAUUACUGGGCGUAAAGCGUGCGCAGGCGGUUUGCUAAGACAGGUGUGAAAUCCCCGGGCUUAACCUGGGAACUGCGUUUCUAACUGGCAGGCUUGAGUGUGGCAGAGGGGGGUGGAAUUCCACGUGUAGCAGUGAAAUGCGUAGAGAUGUGGAGGAACACCGAUGGCGAAGGCAGCCCCCUGGGCUAACACUGACGCUCAUGCACGAAAGCGUGGGGAGCAAACAGG
rnacentral:rRNA from 1 species